UAUUAGUGUCGAAUCGAAAAUGGGGCGUGGCCAAGCGGUAAGGCAACGGGUUUUGAUCCCGCUAUUCGGAGGUUCGAAUCCUUCCGUCCCAGAGCAUAUUCAGUCAUGAUGGCUAUCCUAUUUGAAUCCAAAUUGUUGAAUACAAAUUGUAUAUCAGAAUAAAGAUUAGCCCUUUUUAUUUUAUUGUUUUUAUUGUAAUCACGGUGGAUAAUUGUAUAAUAUAAAAAAAUUUAUUUUAUUUAUUUUAUAAUAUAUUAAUAAAAAUCUAUUUCUUAUUAUUAUAUAUAUAUAUAUAUUUUUCUCUUUUUAAAUAAAUGAAUUUUGACUAUUUGACAAACUAUCCAAAUAGAAUAGAAAAUCUAUUCAUACAAUAACAAUAUCGAAUUAAUUUUAUAUUUUGUGACUUCGUGUUAUGUUAUUACUUUAGAAAUUGCCCAUUCAUAUCGAAGGAAAACUUAGAAGUAAAAAGGAUAGAUUAUUAUGUAUCGAUUAAAUCAAUGCUAUUCACGAUUUCAUAAUUGAUAAUUGAAUGAAUCAAUUAGAUACCCUAAAAGAAUGUUAUGGUAAAACUUCGUUUAAAACGAUGCGAUGUGGUAAAAAAAAAAAGCAACGUGCGGCUUGAAAGACAUGAUUAGAUUAGCUGUGGAUUCUUACAUCCGCUAUUUUUUUUUUUAUAGGAUAUAGAAAUUGGGGUGCUCUUGGCUCGACAUUAUUUGUUCUGUUCCACUGGAACUCGUUGUUUGGGGAACGGGAGAGGGAUUGAUGAUGUAAAUAGUACAUGAUGGAGCUCGAGUUGAUUCAUUUAUCAGGGGCAAGUAGCUAAGGUUAGUGAAGAUUAAUAAGUUAGAACAACUUCGUAAGUAUAUUUUUGAGAGAGAAAUCGAAAGGAUCCUAAUAUCGAAAAUAUCG